GCCAUCCCUAGCUCGGCCAAGCGAAAAGCGGAAACCUUCACCGCCUGGGGUGGCAUCUUAUUGAAGG
rnacentral:sRNA from 1 species